GCACAAGCAGUGGAGUAUGUGGUUUAAUUCGAAGCAACGCGAAAAACCUUACCAGGUCUUGACAUCUCCUGCAUAACCUAGAGAUAGGUGAAGUCCUUCGGGACAGGAAGACAGGUGGUGCAUGGUUGUCGUCAGCUCGUGUCGUGAGAUGUUGGGUUAAGUCCCGCAACGAGCGCAACCCUUACCUUUAGUUGCUACGCAAGAGCACUCUAGAGGGACUGCCGUUGACAAAA
rnacentral:rRNA from 1 species